rnacentral:rRNA from 1 species
GACGAACGCUGGCGGCGUGCUUAACACAUGCAAGUCGAACGGAAAGGCCCCUUUGGGGGUCCUCGAGUGGCGAACGGGUGAGUAACACGUGAGUAACCUGCCCUUGACUUCGGGAUAACUUCAGGAAACUGGGGCUAAUACCGGAUAGGAAUCCUUGCUGCAUGGUGGGGGUUGGAAAGCUUCGGCGGUUUUGGAUGGACUCGCGGCUUAUCAGCUUGUUGGUGGGGUAGUGGCUUACCAAGGCUUUGACGGGUAGCCGGCCUGAGAGGGCGACCGGCCACAUUGGGACUGAGAUACGGCCCAGCCUCCUACGGGAGGCAGCAGUGGGGAAUAUUGCACAAUGGGCGGAAGCCUGAUGCAGCAACGCCGCGUGCGGGAUGACGGCCUUCGGGUUGUAACCCGCUUUCAGCAGGGGCGAAGCUUGUGGUGACGGUACCUGCAGAAGAAGCACCGGCUAACUACGUG